rnacentral:ncRNA from 1 species
UUAAAAACAGUGAUAAAGAGGAGUAAGGAAUAGGACGUAUUAAGAGAGGAAGGUCUAGGCUGUAAGCCUUCUAUAUGAAAUAUCCUGAAGGUAGCUUUUGAGUUUCUUUGGUGAAAUAAUAGUAGUCAAAGACGGCAUUCUAGUCGUUAUAUUAAAUAAGAGCCUAUAAGAAGUAAAUUGUUAAUUUACUUAGUAGGAAUAAAGGUGGUACCGCGAGUCUUCGUCCUUUUU